UUUUUCUUCUCCUUCGACAGUAGCCCCUUGUGUUGCCGAUGCCGCCUUGCUGCCCGGCGGUGUAAGGCAACGGUGGUGCUCCUCCUUCUCCCCUUUCUUCUCUUUUUUCCUCAGUUUUUUUUCUCUUGCUGUUUUUUAUUCUUUUCUUUGUUGCUUGGCUUGUUUGGGUUGUAGGUAAUGGUGGUAGAGGUGUCACGGUGGCAGUGCGGCGGCGAUGGUUGCGGGAGGAGGUUUUGGGUUGCUAUUUUUUGAAUAUUUUACUGCUAUUUUUUUUUGCUGCCAAAACUGAACCCCCCUCUCUUCCUCUCAUCUUCUUCUUUUAAAUCCUUCAAUUUUGUCUUCUUUCCUUUGUUUUCAGGCGGUAGGGGAGCAUCAUUGGCCUAGGGAGGCUGCUGGAGUAGCUAGAGGUGGGUGGAGCACGCUUGGCUGCCGACUGGCAGAUUUGACAUGUCCAGGAGGACCAAAUUGUAAAGGUGUAAAGUUUUCGGGGUAAAAAUGUAAUUUUAGAAAAAUAUGGGGCUAAAAUGUAAUUUUUAGAAAUUUUAGGGGUCUGAAUGUAAUUUAUAUUUUUUGUAUUUUUUUCUGAUUUAUUAUUUUUUUAUUAAUAUUUUUAAAACAUAAAAAACAAAAUAAAACAAUGGGCCAAAGCCCAAACAAGUCCAAAAUUAAAUUAUUUAAAACCCAAUUAUCCAACCCUACCUGCCCACCCAUUGGGC
rnacentral:lncRNA from 1 species